rnacentral:rRNA from 1 species
CAGCCUACGGGGGGCAGCAGUGGGGAAUAUUGCGCAAUGGGGGAAACCCUGACGCAGCAACGCCGCGUGAGUGAAGAAGUAUCUCGGUAUGUAAAGCUCUAUCAGCGGGGAAGAAGGAAGACGGUACCCGACUAAGAAGCACCGGCUAACUACGUGCCAGCAGCCGCGGUAAUACGUAGGGGGCAAGCGUUAUCCGGAUUUACUGGGUGUAAAGGGAGCGUAGGCGGCAAGGUAAGCCAGAAGUGAAAGAC